UCUUACCAAAGGGGUCUAAGUUAAAAUAAA
rnacentral:piRNA from 1 species